UACGAAGGGGGCUAGCGUUGUUCGGAAUUACUGGGCGUAAAGCGCACGUAGGCGGAUUGUUAAGUCGGGGGUGAAAUCCUGAGGCUCAACCUCAGAACUGCCUUCGAUACUGGCAAUCUCGAGUCCGGGAGAGGUGAGUGGAACUGCGAGUGUAGAGGUGAAAUUCGUAGAUAUUCGCAAGAACACCAGUGGCGAAGGCGGCUCACUGGCCCGGUACUGACGCUGAGGUGCGAAAGCGUGGGGAGCAAACAGG
rnacentral:rRNA from 1 species